rnacentral:rRNA from 1 species
GCGAGCUUGCUCAAUUCUUGAGUAGUUUUAGUGGCGGACGGGUGAGUAACGCGUGGGUAACCUGCCAUGUACUGGGGGACAACAGUUGGAAACGACUGCUAAUACCGCAUAAGCGCACAGGACCGCAUGGUCUAGUGUGAAAAACUCCGGUGGUACAUGAUGGACCCGCGUCUGAUUAGCUAGUUGGUGAGGUAACGGCCCACCAAGGCGACGAUCAGUAGCCGGCCUGAGAGGGUGAACGGCCACAUUGGGACUGAGACACGGCCCAGACUCCUACGGGAGGCAGCAGUGGGGAAUAUUGCACAAUGGGGGAAACCCUGAUGCAGCGACGCCGCGUGAGUGAAGAAGUAUUUCGGUAUGUAAAGCUCUAUCAGCAAGGAAGAAAAUGACGGUACUUGACUAAGAAGCCCCGGCUAACUACGUGCCAGCAGCCGCGGUAAUACGUAGGGGGCAAGCGUUAUCCGGAUUUACUGGGUGUAAAGGGAGCGUAGACGGCAUGGCAAGUCUGAAGUGAAAGCCCGAGGCUCAACCACGGGACUGCUUUGGAAACUGUUAAGCUAGAGUGCAGGAGAGGUAAGUGGAAUUCCUAGUGUAGCGGUGAAAUGCGU